UGUCUAGAUAUCAAAGAAUUCAAUAGUCUCUGGAGUCAUCUGAUGACCUUCGAGGACCCAUCAACCUGAGAACAGAACAGGAUGCAGGAUGGAGCCCAUGGGAGGUGAGAUGGGCUUUCCAAAGGGGAGAGUCUUCCAUCAGUGGCUUCUCAAGAUGUGGAGGCAGAGCUUCAGGUGCAGGCCGUGAGCUAGCUGCUUUAGUAGAAAAGGCUGUUUGGAGGACGGCAUUGGUCUGGCUCCAUGGAAACCUUUGAAACUGCAGAAGAAUCCCUCCCACUGCCCCCGCCUGACAUGGUAAAGAUUUCUCAUCCGGUAAUUGCAGUGAACCCAGAAGAAGGGGUGAUGGUGAGAGGGGAGAGGUCAAUUAAGGAAUGAUAGGUUUCUCUGCUCUUGUUUUCUUCUCCCAGCCUCUUUGGGAUUAUUUGGAUACUAGAGGCCUGAUGCACGAAAUUUUUGCAAGAGUAGGCCUUCCUUCCCCUGGUUGCCGGCACCAGCUUCCCUCUGGCACCCGAGACCCGGGCUUCCCGCGCAGCCCCUGCUUUGUCCGGAAGGUCGUCCAGAAGGAUAUCCAGUCUAAUACUGCUCUGGAUCAAGAAGAGCUGCAUGAAGACCUGACAUAGAAACCAUCUCACAUUACCUUAGAAGUAAAGGUAUCCUAUCUACAGCAAAUGAAUACCACUUUUCUUCAGGUUUACAGCACACUUUUGGACUAUUUCACUGGUAGCAAAUGGACAUGAACAACAUGGAGUUUAUAGAAGAAAGCAGGAGAAUGAAUACAUCUGUCAAACACCAACAAAAUGGACUAGAAGGGAGGAAUAAAGCUAAAAUGGAUUGAGUUGACUGGUUCUAUGUGCACACUCCAUUAGCAGCAUUCCUUCACAGUCCUCCCACCAACCUCAGGAGACAGAUCAACCAUCCAUUCAUUCAACUAUGAAACAUCUGCGACGAGUAAGGCUGUGUACAAGGAGCUUGGAUGCCACAGCAAACAAAAUGCACACUCCUUACCCCCGUGGAGCUUCUAUUCCAGCAGUGGAGACAGAUUACCAGAACAUUAUUACAUUAUGAUCCUCUUAUGUGUAGAGGAGGAGUAGGACAGGGUGAUUUGAGUAGGUGACCAUGUAAUGGAUGCCUUACACAAUAUGGUGAUCAUGUCAGGAAAGCUUUUUUUUUUUUUAAGAAAAUCAUAUUUAUAACUAGGUAUUCAGCAUGAAUAAGAAUUGGCUAAGCAAGCAGAUGAAAUGACAUGCGUAAGGACCCAACGCAGAAAGGAACAGGAAAAGAGGCAAAGCCUCAGAAGCAAGAUGGAGGCUGGAACAUGGUUGGGAAACCCCUUGCUGGACCAGUCUUCGUUCCAUUCACAUUCAACUCAAGCUCCUCCACAACCUGUGUCCCGUGUUGCUUUUGUCGACGAGAAGGGAUGCUCAUUGUAACAGGGUUGGCAUGAUUUCUGCAUCCUAGGCUUCCUAAGGCAGGAAAAAUAUGCUCUCCUUUUAGAAACAUAUCCACAACAAAGAAUGGAUUUAUGGAAGAGUGGAGAGAAUAAUAGACAAUGAUUCAGGGGAUUUGGGGCCCAGUCCUGCUGUAACCAUCAGAGAAUCAUUUACUAUCUCUUAGUUUCAACUUGUUUACUAAAAUGACCAGUGCUUCUCAUACUUUUCACAGAAAUAGUCCAAAGACACCAAGCAUGAAAAUAAAUUCCUAGGGUUAGUACCUGGGACGUAUUGACCUAAAGAGACCCAUUGCAGGUGUGCAAUUUUUCUCUUCUUUAAAAUUUAGGCCAAAAUUGCCUUCUUCUCCAUAAGAUGUUGGUGUUUUUAAUAGAUAAAAAUGUUUUAUUGGUUUGUUCUUUUUGUUGUUUUUUUCUCAAAUAGAAUUGGUGCUCUGAGAGAUGCACCAUACUUUAAUAUGUAGCUUCAAGGACCCCAACACACUGCCCUGUACUUCAGUUUGGGAAACAAUGAAUCCUCUGUAAGAUCCCUUCUAUCUUGGUCAGUGUAAGAGAGAAUAAGACCUGUUCUCCAAUUACCCAUAAACUGUGAGAUCAUUAUUCUGGUGGUGAUUCAUUUCCCUACAGGGAUCAACAGUUUUUCUUGCCAUCAAGUUUCUUGGUCCCUGAUACAGAAAUGACCCUUCCAGUCACUCUGGACUAUACCUGGCCAUCAUUGAAUAGGCUGACAAUUUAAGUCCACAUGAUAAAAUCACUAAUAAUAACGAUACUAUUCCCACCUUCACCCUGAAAGCAACACCUAAAUUUCUCAAAUCACUCACUUCCUUCCACUCUUUAAUGCAGUAAUGGAGAAGCACUGUUCUUGGCUUAGAAAGGUCUAAGUUGGCAUCUUAGAUCUUGGGCAAAUCACAACUUCCCUUCAAUUCAGUUUCUGCAUCAGCAAAAUAGAAACAAUAACGGCGCUUAUCCUGCCUCCCUUACAGGUGUGUGAUGAGAAACAUAAACAAAUGUUGGGGCUAGAGGUAGGUAUUAUUUUUAUUAUUGAAUAUCUAUCUUUAAUCCGGAAUGAAGAAAAAAUUACUUAUCUUGAUACUCCUUCAGUUUGGAAUGUGGGUCGCUGGGAACUGUGUGCCAGCUUCGAGAAGGCCGAACCCUCAGCUGGGUGCUGCUGCGGACCUGCCCCUACACGCUCUCAACAGACACAGGUGAAACCUUUUGGAAACAAUAAGGGGCAUUGUUGAGCUGGGUGUGGCAAGAAGGGGAAUGUCGGCAACUGCCAAUGAACCUUAGCCAAGCCCCCAUGUGGCAAGAAAAGCUUUCCCCUAUGAUUCCAUUUUCUGAUUAAGAAGUAACACUGAACUGUAAGAUUUAAAACCCCUGAGGGAUCUAAGGCUCAAAGCUCUCCAGGAGCUGGGGGUAAGUGCCUCAGCAGGACACACAGGGAAUGAAGGCUGGACCAUCUGCACCAGUGGCCAUUUUUUUGCUGCCACCAGUCCUCCCCUUGUCCUCCACUGAGUAAGUCGUACCAGGGAGGAGUAGGAGCCAAGCUUCUUCCCACUGCCAAGCAGUGAGGACCCUGGAGGCUAAAUUAGACAAGCUAUUAACUAGCAGCUCAAAUUGAGCAACUCCAGUGAGGAGACAAGCACAGACGGAGACCACAAGCAAAACAAGGACAAAAAACGCUGUAAGUUGGAAAACGUAGCUGCCACAGCAGAGGAAGAAGGAGCAUGAAGACCCAAAUCAGAAUAAGAAGGAAAUAAAGGGAUAAUAGGAAAAAGAAGUGGCACAAACCCUCCAUGUCUCACAUGCAUAGGGACACACCCAGUGUAGCUUUCCCCAGUCUGCAGCCAUUGUUUUCUGUAUUGAAGCUCCAUUUGGAACAAGGGUAGAGUUUAUAGGUUAACCUCUAGGCACCAAAAAGCUAUCCUCAGCUGGUAAAAUCAAUGAGCAAAUGCAGAAAUUUGCUGAGUUCACCCCUCUUGUUCCCCAAACAAUGGUUUAUUUAAAAAAAAAAAAAGACUCUUGCCUUGAUAAUAUGUGAUGAAUGGAGAAAAAUGAACUUUAUGUCAUGGGAGUAUUUGUAAUUCCUAAGGUAAAACAAGUCUCAGAUAUUAAUUUCAUUUACCAAGAACUAUAUCCAGGAAAUGUUAAUGUAAGCAUAAGUCAUAUAUUUUUACAUGAUUCUUUCCAGAUUGAUUUUUACUACCUUUGGUUUAUGCAUGUGCCAUGUCAGCGGGUCUACUAGUGUUUCCUUUGUUUCUUUGCCUGGGGUGGGAUGUGUUGGGUUGUUUUGUUCUUUGGUUUUUCCUUCUUCUGCCUUCAUUUAGAGAGGCAUAAAGCAGCAGAACAGAAUAGUGGUGAGCGCACAGCUUCUGGAGUCAAAUAUCUAACUCUACUCCCAAGGCAUAAUUUGCUGGGCCCAGUAUAAAAUGAAAAUGCAGGGCCCCUUGUGCAAAAAUUAUUAAGUCUAUAAAAACAGUGACCUCAGACCAUUAAACCAAAACAGAGCUCUUCUGAUCAUAGGGCCUUGUGUGACUAAUGGCCCAGGUCACAUGUACAUGAAACUGUCCCUGCUGUCCCAUGCUAACUGUGUGAUUUGGAAAAGUCACCCUCACAAGCUUCAGCCUUCUUAUCUUUAAAUGAGGGACAAUCAUAGUACUUAUCUCACAGAGCUGUGGAAUAACUAAAUCACAUGGUAUUUAUAAAUUGCUCAACAUGGUGCCUGGAACAUAGCAAGUGCUUAAACGUUAUAACUUAUUGCUGUCACCAAUUACCUGCUUAUAUCAUGAUGUUCUUAAGAACCUCAAUUUAAACAACAAUGACAUACCACUGCACACCUAUUAGAAUGGCCAAAAUCCAGAACACUGACAGCACCAAAUGCUGACAAGGAUGUAACAGGAAUUCUCAUUCAUGGCUGGUGGCAAAGCAGAGUGGUACAGCCACUUGGGAACACAGUUUGGUGAUUUCUUGUAAAACUAAACAUACCUUUACCAUAUGAUUCAGCAGAGCCAGCUAGUGCAACUCCUUACCCAAAGAAAUUGAAAACUAAUCUCUACAUAAAAAUCUGCACACAGAUGUUUAUAGAGCUUUAUUCAUAGUUGCCAAAAUUUGGAAACAACCAAGAUGUCCUUCAAUAGGUGAAUGGGUAAAUAAACGGUGGUACAUCCAGACAAUGGAAUAUUAUUCACCACUAAAAAGAAAUAA